GGUUAAGUUAGAAAGGGCGCACGGUGGAUGCCUUGGCACUAGGAGCCGAAGAAGGACGGGACUAACACCGAUAUGCUUUGGGGAGCUGUACGUAAGCGUUGAUCCAGAGAUUUCCGAAUGGGGGAACCCACUAUCUUUAGUCGGAUAGUAUCCUUACGUGAAUACAUAGCGUGAGGAAGGCAGACCCAGGGAACUGAAACAUCUAAGUACCUGGAGGAAGAGAAAGAAAAAUCGAUUUCCUGAGUAGCGGCGAGCGAAACGGAAAGAGCCCAAACCAAGAAGCUUGCUUCUUGGGGUUGUAGGACACUCUAUACGGAGUUACAAAAGAAAGUUAUAAAUGAAGCGGUCUGGAAAGGCCCGCCAAAGACGGUAACAGCCCGGUAGUUGAAAUGGCUUUCCCUCCAGAGUGGAUCCUGAGUACGGCGGAACACGUGAAAUUCCGUCGGAAUCCGGGAGGACCAUCUCCCAAGGCUAAAUACUCCCUAGUGACCGAUAGUGAACCAGUACCGUGAGGGAAAGGUGAAAAGCACCCCGGAAGGGGAGUGAAACAGUUCCUGAAACCGUGUGCCUACAAGUAGUUAGAGCCCGUUAAUGGGUGAUAGCGUGCCUUUUGUAGAAUGAACCGGCGAGUUACGAUUUGUUGCAAGGUUAAGCGGAAAAAGCGGAGCCGUAGCGAAAGCGAGUCUGAAUAGGGCGCAUAAGUAACAGGUCGUAGACCCGAAACCAGGUGAUCUACCCAUGUCCAGGAUGAAGGUAAGGUAAUACUUACUGGAGGUCCGAACCCACGCACGUUGA
rnacentral:rRNA from 1 species